AUGAACGCUAGCGACAGGCUUAACACAUGCAAGUCGAGGGGCAGCACAGGUAGCAAUACCGGGUGGCGACCGGCGCACGGGUGAGUAACGCGUAUGCAACUUACCUAUCAGAGGGGGAUAACCCGGCGAAAGUCGGACUAAUACCGCAUGAAGCAGGGGCCCCGCAUGGGGAUAUUUGCUAAAGAUUCAUCGCUGAUAGAUAGGCAUGCGUUCCAUUAGGCAGUUGGCGGGGUAACGGCCCACCAAACCGACGAUGGAUAGGGGUUCUGAGAGGAAGGUCCCCCACAUUGGUACUGAGACACGGACCAAACUCCUACGGGAGGCAGCAGUGAGGAAUAUUGGUCAAUGGCCGAGAGGCUGAACCAGCCAAGUCGCGUGAGGGAUGAAGGUUCUAUGGAUCGUAAACCUCUUUUAUAAGGGAAUAAAGUGCGGGACGUGUCCCGUUUUGUAUGUACCUUAUGAAUAAGGAUCGGCUAACUCCGUGCCAGCAGCCGCGGUAAUACGGAGGAUCCGAGCGUUAUCCGGAUUUAUUGGGUUUAAAGGGUGCGUAGGCGGCCUUUUAAGUCAGCGGUGAAAGUCUGUGGCUCAACCAUAGAAUUGCCGUUGAAACUGGGGGGCUUGAGUAUGUUUGAGGCAGGCGGAAUGCGUGGUGUAGCGGUGAAAUGCAUAGAUAUCACGCAGAACCCCGAUUGCGAAGGCAGCCUGCCAAGCCAUGACUGACGCUGAUGCACGAAAGCGUGGGGAUCAAACAGGAUUAGAUACCCUGGUAGUCCACGCAGUAAACGAUGAUCACUAGCUGUUUGCGAUACACAGUAAGCGGCACAGCGAAAGCGUUAAGUGAUCCACCUGGGGAGUACGCCGGCAACGGUGAAACUCAAAGGAAUUGACGGGGGCCCGCACAAGCGGAGGAACAUGUGGUUUAAUUCGAUGAUACGCGAGGAACCUUACCCGGGCUUAAAUUGCAAAUGAAUUAUGGGGAAACCCAUAGGCCGUAAGGCAUUUGUGAAGGUGCUGCAUGGUUGUCGUCAGCUCGUGCCGUGAGGUGUCGGCUUAAGUGCCAUAACGAGCGCAACCCUUGCCACUAGUUACUAACAGGUGAUGCUGAGGACUCUGGUGGGACUGCCAGCGUAAGCUGCGAGGAAGGCGGGGAUGACGUCAAAUCAGCACGGCCCUUACAUCCGGGGCGACACACGUGUUACAAUGGCGUGGACAAAGGGAGGCCACCUGGCGACAGGGAGCGAAUCCCCAAACCACGUCUCAGUUCGGAUCGGAGUCUGCAACCCGACUCCGUGAAGCUGGAUUCGCUAGUAAUCGCGCAUCAGCCAUGGCGCGGUGAAUACGUUCCCGGGCCUUGUACACACCGCCCGUCAAGCCAUGGGAGCCGGGGGUACCUGAAGUCCGUAACCGCGAGGAUCGGCCUAGGGUAAAACUGGUGACUGGGGCU
rnacentral:rRNA from 1 species